AGUCGAACGAUGAACCACUUCGGUGGGGAUUAGUGGCGAACGGGUGAGUAACACGUGGGCAAUCUGCCCUGCACUCUGGGACAAGCCCUGGAAACGGGGUCUAAUACCGGAUACUGAUCAUCUUGGGCAUCCUUGGUGAUCGAAAGCUCCGGCGGUGCAGGAUGAGCCCGCGGCCUAUCAGCUUGUUGGUGAGGUAACGGCUCACCAAGGCGACGACGGGUAGCCGGCCUGAGAGGGCGACCGGCCACACUGGGACUGAGACACGGCCCAGACUCCUACGGGAGGCAGCAGUGGGGAAUAUUGCACAAUGGGCGAAAGCCUGAUGCAGCGACGCCGCGUGAGGGAUGACGGCCUUCGGGUUGUAAACCUCUUUCAGCAGGGAAGAAGCGAAAGUGACGGUACCUGCAGAAGAAGCGCCGGCUAACUACGUGCCAGCAGCCGCGGUAAUACGUAGGGCGCGAGCGUUGUCCGGAAUUAUUGGGCGUAAAGAGCUCGUAGGCGGCUUGUCGCGUCGGUUGUGAAAGCCCGGGGCUUAACCCCGGGUCUGCAGUCGAUACGGGCAGGCUAGAGUUCGGUAGGGGAGAUCGGAAUUCCUGGUGUAGCGGUGAAAUGCGCAGAUAUCAGGAGGAACACCGGUGGCGAAGGCGGAUCUCUGGGCCGAUACUGACGCUGAGGAGCGAAAGCGUGGGGAGCGAACAGGAUUAGAUACCCUGGUAGUCCACGCCGUAAACGGUGGGCACUAGGUGUGGGCGACAUUCCACGUCGUCCGUGCCGCAACUAACGCAUUAAGUGCCCCGCCCGGGGAGUACGGCCGCAAGGCUAAAACUCACAGGAAUUGAC
rnacentral:rRNA from 1 species